GACGAACGCUGGCGGCGUGCUUAACACAUGCAAGUCGAACGGUAAGGCCCUUCGGGGUACACGAGUGGCGAACGGGUGAGUAACACGUGGGUGAUCUGCCCUGCACUUUGGGAUAAGCCUGGGAAACUGGGUCUAAUACCGAAUAGGACUCCGGACUGCAUGGUCUGGGGUGGAAAGCUUUUGCGGUGUGGGAUGGGCCCGCGGCCUAUCAGCUUGUUGGUGGGGUGAUGGCCUACCAAGGCGACGACGGGUAGCCGGCCGGAGGGGGUGACCGGCCACACUGGGACUGGGAUACGGCACAGACUCCUACGGGAGGCAGCAGUGGGGAAUAUUGCACAAUGGGCGCAAGCCUGAUGCGGCGACGCCGCGUGAGGGAUGACGGCCUUCGGGUUGUAAACCUCUUUCAGCACAGACGAAGCGCAAGUGACGGUAUGUGCAGAAGAAGGACCGGCCAACUACGUGCCAGCCGCCGCCGUAAGAC
rnacentral:rRNA from 1 species